rnacentral:rRNA from 1 species
UUGGCCUCAAAUCAGGUAGGACUACCCGCUGAACUUAAGCAUAUCAAUAAGCGGGAGGAA